rnacentral:rRNA from 1 species
AGCAGCCGCGGUAAUUCCAGCUCCAAUAGCGUAUAUUAAAGUUGUUGCAGUUAAAAAGCUCGUAGUUGAAUUUCGGGGUCAAUACGUCGGUCGUGCCUCGGUACGUACUAACGUUAUUGAUCCCUCCCUUCUGACGAACCAUGAUGUCAUUUAUUUGGUGUUGUGGGGAAUCAGGACUGUUACUUUGAAAAAAAUUAGAGUGUUUAAAGCAGGCUCACGCUUGAAUACAUUAGCAUGGAAUAAUGAAAUAGGACGUUUGAUUCUAUUUUGUUGGUUUCUAGGAUCGACGUAAUGAUUAAUAGGGAUAGUUGGGGGCAUUAGUAUUCAAUUGUCAGAGGUGAAAUUCUUGGAUUUAUUGAAGACUAACUACUGCGAAAGCAUUUGCCAAGGAUGUUUUCAUUAAUCAAGAACGAAAGUUAGGGGAUCGAAGACGAUCAGAUACCGUCGUAGUCUUAACCAUAAACUAUGCCGACUAGGGAUCGGAUGAUGUUAAUUUUUAAUGACUCAUUCGGCGCCUUAC